rnacentral:rRNA from 1 species
AGCGUACACGGUGGAUGCCCUGGCAGUCAGAGGCGAUGAAGGGCGUGCUAAUCUGCGAUAAGCGCCGGUAAGGUGAUAUGAACCGUUAUAACCGGCGAUACCCGAAUGGGGAAACCCAGUGUGACUCGUCACACUAUCAUUAACUGAAUCCAUAGGUUAAUGAGGCGAACCGGGGGAACUGAAACAUCUAAGUACCCCGAGGAAAAGAAAUCAACCGAGAUUCCCCCAGUAGCGGCGAGCGAACGGGGAGGAGCCCAGAGCCUGAAUCAGCAUGUGUGUUAGUGGAAGCGUCUGGAAAGGCGCGCGAUACAGGGUGACAGCCCCGUACACAAAAGCGCAUGUGCUGUGAGCUCGAUGAGUAGGGCGGGACACGUGGUAUCCUGUCUGAAUAUGGGGGGACCAUCCUCCAAGGCUAAAUACUCCUGACUGACCGAUAGUGAACCAGUACCGUGAGGGAAAGGCGAAAAGAACCCCGGCGAGGGGAGUGAAACAGAACCUGAAACCGUGUACGUACAAGCAGUGGGAGCACAGGUUUACCUGUGUGACUGCGUACCUUUUGUAUAAUGGGUCAGCGACUUAUAUUCUGUAGCAAGGUUAACCGAAUAGGGGAGCCGGAGGGAAACCGAGUCUUAAUUGGGCGUUAAGUUGCAGGGUAUAGACCCGAAACCCGGUGAUCUAGCCAUGGGCAGGUUGAAGGUUGGGUAACACUAACUGGAGGACCGAACCGACUAAUGUUGAAAAAUUAGCGGAUGACCUGUGGCUGGGGGUGAAAGGCCAAUCAAACCGGGAGAUAGCUGGUUCUCCCCGAAAGCUAUUUAGGUAGCGCCUCGUGAAUUCAUCUCCGGGGGUAGAGCACUGUUUCGGCUAGGGGGCCAUCCCGGCUUACCAACCCGAUGCAAACUGCGAAUACCGGAGAAUGUUAUCACGGGAGACACACGGCGGGUGCUAACGUCCGUCGUGAAGAGGGAAACAACCCAGACCGCCAGCUAAGGUCCCAAAGUCAUGGUUAAGUGGGAAACGAUGUGGGAAGGCCCAGACAGCCAGGAUGUUGGCUUAGAAGCAGCCAUCAUUUAAAGAAAGCGUAAUAGCUCACUGGUCGAGUCGGCCUGCGCGGAAGAUGUAACGGGGCUAAACCAUGCACCGAAGCUGCGGCAGCGACGCUUAUGCGUUGUUGGGUAGGGGAGCGUUCUGUAAGCCUGCGAAGGUGGCCUGUGAGGGUUGCUGGAGGUAUCAGAAGUGCGAAUGCUGACAUAAGUAACGAUAAAGCGGGUGAAAAGCCCGCUCGCCGGAAGACCAAGGGUUCCUGUCCAACGUUAAUCGGGGCAGGGUGAGUCGACCCCUAAGGCGAGGCCGAAAGGCGUAGUCGAUGGGAAACGGGUUAAUAUUCCCGUACUUGGUGUUACUGCGAAGGGGGGACGGAGAAGGCUAUGUUGGCCGGGCGACGGUUGUCCCGGUUUAAGCGUGUAGGUGUGUGUUCCAGGUAAAUCCGGUUCACUUUAACACUGAGGCGUGAUGACGAGGCACUACGGUGCUGAAGCAACAAAUGCCCUGCUUCCAGGAAAAGCCUCUAAGCAUCAGGUAACAUCAAAUCGUACCCCAAACCGACACAGGUGGUCAGGUAGAGAAUACCAAGGCGCUUGAGAGAACUCGGGUGAAGGAACUAGGCAAAAUGGUGCCGUAACUUCGGGAGAAGGCACGCUGACACGUAGGUGAAGUGAUUUACUCAUGGAGCUGAAGUCAGUCGAAGAUACCAGCUGGCUGCAACUGUUUAUUAAAAACACAGCACUGUGCAAACACGAAAGUGGACGUAUACGGUGUGACGCCUGCCCGGUGCCGGAAGGUUAAUUGAUGGGGUCAGCGCAAGCGAAGCUCCUGAUCGAAGCCCCGGUAAACGGCGGCCGUAACUAUAACGGUCCUAAGGUAGCGAAAUUCCUUGUCGGGUAAGUUCCGACCUGCACGAAUGGCGUAAUGAUGGCCAGGCUGUCUCCACCCGAGACUCAGUGAAAUUGAACUCGCUGUGAAGAUGCAGUGUACCCGCGGCAAGACGGAAAGACCCCGUGAACCUUUACUAUAGCUUGACACUGAACAUUGAGCCUUGAUGUGUAGGAUAGGUGGGAGGCUUUGAAGCGUGGACGCCAGUCUGCGUGGAGCCGACCUUGAAAUACCACCCUUUAAUGUUUGAUGUUCUAACGUGGACCCGUAAUCCGGGUUGCGGACAGUGUCUGGUGGGUAGUUUGACUGGGGCGGUCUCCUCCUAAAGAGUAACGGAGGAGCACGAAGGUUGGCUAAUCCUGGUCGGACAUCAGGAGGUUAGUGCAAUGGCAUAAGCCAGCUUGACUGCGAGCGUGACGGCGCGAGCAGGUGCGAAAGCAGGUCAUAGUGAUCCGGUGGUUCUGAAUGGAAGGGCCAUCGCUCAACGGAUAAAAGGUACUCCGGGGAUAACAGGCUGAUACCGCCCAAGAGUUCAUAUCGACGGCGGUGUUUGGCACCUCGAUGUCGGCUCAUCACAUCCUGGGGCUGAAGUAGGUCCCAAGGGUAUGGCUGUUCGCCAUUUAAAGUGGUACGCGAGCUGGGUUUAGAACGUCGUGAGACAGUUCGGUCCCUAUCUGCCGUGGGCGCUGGAGAACUGAGGGGGGCUGCUCCUAGUACGAGAGGACCGGAGUGGACGCAUCACUGGUGUUCGGGUUGUCAUGCCAAUGGCACUGCCCGGUAGCUAAAUGCGGAAGAGAUAAGUGCUGAAAGCAUCUAAGCACGAAACUUGCCCCGAGAUGAGUUCU